GAUGAAGAACGUAGCGAAAUGCGAUAAGUAGUGUGAAUUGCAGAAUUCCGUGAAUCAUCGAAUCUUUGAACGCACAUUGCGCCUUCUGGUAUUCCGGAAGGCAUGCCUGUUCGAGAGUCAUUAACAACCGUUUCGAUCCCUUUCUUUCAGAAAUUACAAAGAGGAAAAGGGUUUGGUUAUGGUGGAGGAGGGAAAGGGAGCGUUUAGCCUGUAAAAAAAGAGGCUGUGUUCCGCCUCCCCCCCAAAAUUGUACAGGCGGUCGUGUGCGCCCACGCAUCGAGGUGUUGUAAAAGCUGCCACGGCACUUUUCACCUGUGCAGUGCGAGAUUGGCCAGCCGGUUUAAAAACCCCUCCAAACAAUCAAAGGUUGACAUCGGAUCAGGUAGGGAUACCCGCUGAACUUAAGCAUAUCAAUAAGCGGAGGA
rnacentral:misc_RNA from 1 species